rnacentral:rRNA from 1 species
GAUGAACGCUGGCGGCGUGCCUAAUACAUGCAAGUCGAGCGAACAGACGAGGAGCUUGCUCCUCUGACGUUAGCGGCGGACGGGUGAGUAACACGUGGAUAACCUACCUAUAAGACUGGGAUAACUUCGGGAAACCGGAGCUAAUACCGGAUAAUAUAUUGAACCGCAUGGUUCAAUAGUGAAAGACGGUUUUGCUGUCACUUAUAGAUGAAUCCGCGCCGCAUUAGCUAGUUGGUAAGGUAACGGCUUACCAAGGCAACGAUGCGUAGCCGACCUGAGAGGGUGAUCGGCCACACUGGAACUGAGACACGGUCCAGACUCCUACGGGAGGCAGCAGUAGGGAAUCUUCCGCAAUGGGCGAAAGCCUGACGGAGCAACGCCGCGUGAGUGAUGAAGGUCUUCGGAUCGUAAAACUCUGUUAUUAGGGAAGAACAAAUGUGUAAGUAACUAUGCACGUCUUGACGGUACCUAAUCAGAAAGCCACGGCUAACUACGU